GCAUGGCCGUUCUUAGUUGGUGGAGCGAUUUGUCUGGUUAAUUCCGACAACNAACGAGACUCCGGCAUGCUAAAUAGUUACGCGGCCCUGCGGUCGGCGUCCAACUUCUUAGAGGGACAAGUGGCGUUNAGCCACACGAGAUGGAGCA
rnacentral:rRNA from 1 species